ACACUGGGACUGAGACACGGCCCAGACUCCUACGGGAGGCAGCAGUGGGGAAUCUUGCGCAAUGGGCGAAAGCCUGACGCAGCAGCGCCGCGUGGGGGAUGAAGGCUCUCGGGUUGUAAACCCCUUUCAGCAGGGACGAAUCAAGACGGUACCUGCAGAAGAAGCCCCGGCUAACUACGUGCCAGCAGCCGCGGUAACACGUAGGGGGCAAGCGUUGUCCGGAUUUAUUGGGCGUAAAGAGCUCGUAGGUGGCUGAGUAAGUCGGAUGUUAAAUCCCCAGGCUCAACCUGGGACACCACCCGAUACUGCUCUGGCUAGAGUCCGGUAGGGGAGCGUGGAAUUCCUGGUGUAGCGGUGAAAUGCGCAGAUAUCAGGAGGAACACCAGCGGCGAAGGCGGCGCUCUGGGCCGGUACUGACACUGAGGAGCGAAAGCGUGGGUAGCAAACAGGAUUAAUACCCUGGUAGUCCACGCCGUAAACGUUGGGCACUAGGUGUGGGGUCUAUUCAACGGACUCCGUGCCGUCGCUAACGCAUUAAGUGCCCCGCCUGGGGAGUACGGCCGCAAGGCUAAAACUCAAAGGAAUUGACGGGGGCCCGCACAAGCAGCGGAGCAUGUUGCUUAAUUCGAGGCAACGCGAAGAACCUUACCUGGGUUUGACAUGUAGAGAAAAGCCGUAGAGAUACGGUGUCCUUCGGGGUUCUACACAGGUGGUGCAUGGUUGUCGUCAGCUCGUGUCGUGAGAUGUUGGGUUAAGUCCCGCAACGAGCGCAACCCUUGUCCUAUGUUGCCAGCACGUAAUGGUGGGGACUCGUAGGAGACUGCCGGGGUCAACUCGGAGGAAGGUGGGGACGACGUCAAAUCAUCAUGCCCCUUAUAUCCAGGGCUGCAAACAUGCUACAAUGGCCGGUACAAAGGGCUGCUAAACCGCGAGGUGGAGCGAAUCCCAUAAAGCCGGUCUCAGUUCGGAUUGGAGUCUGCAACUCGACUCCAUGAAGCUGGAGUUGCUAGUAAUCCCGGAUCAGCAACGCCGGGGUGAAUACGUUCCCGGGCCUUGUACACACCGCCCGUCACACCAUGAAAGUUGGAAACGCCCGAAGCCAGUGGCCCAACCCGCAAGGGAGGGAGCUGUCGAAGGUGGAAUCAGCGAUUAGGGUGAAGUCGUAACAAGGUAGCCGUACCGGAAGGUGCGGCUG
rnacentral:rRNA from 1 species